rnacentral:rRNA from 1 species
GACGAACGCUGGCGGCGUGCUUAACACAUGCAAGUCGAACGGAAAGGCGAUGCUCUUGUGGGGUGCUCGAGAGGCGAACGGGUGUGUAAAACGCGUGUAAACUGUCCUUGUCUUUCGGAUAACUCCAGGAAAAUGGGGCUCUUACAGCAUAGGAGAUCCUGCUGCACGGUGGGGGAUGGUAAGUUUCGGCGGUUGGGGCUGGAAUCGCGGCUUAUCAGCUUGUUGGUGAGGUAGUGGCUUACCAGGGCUAUGACGGGUAGGCGGCCUGUGAGGGUGGCCGGCCACAUGAGGACUGAGAUACGGCCCAGUCGCCAACGGUACGCAACGGUGGAGAGUAUGACACAGUAGGCGGAAGCCAGAUGCGACGACGCCGCGUGCGGGAAAACGGCCUUCUAGUUGUAAACCACUGUCGCCUUUGACGAGGCGGGAGUGACGGUAAUUGGUAAGAAAGCACCGGCUAACUACGUG